GUGCUGAAGUGAGCCACGAAAGAGUGCUCGAGCUGCCCGAAGGAGUGGAUACUUUCCGAUCGAAGACCAGAGUACCAGGCCCUAACAGCUUUGCGGAGCGUGACGGGGAAGCCGAUGCAAAAGAGAGCAUCGGUUGCCCCCUAAAUCGUCAUGAGAGCUUUGUAGCUCUCCAGGUGGUCGAUUGGGUCGGUGGAGCCGUCGUAGGGC
rnacentral:lncRNA from 1 species